AUGUAUAUUAUCCGACCCAGAGUUACAGCCUAUAUAUGGUCAUGGUAGCAGUGUGAAUGACCCUCAGCCCAUGAAUAGGUAUUGUUGUUGUUGCUAUGUCAUGUUAACUACAUUCCUCAGGUACAAUGAGUGAACCCCCAUUGGGCAUAUCAGCAAGGGAAUAGUUAUCCAGAAAUAAGUCACCUCUCUUCUCGUGUGUAUGUGUGUGUGUGCGCUCGUUGUGUACAAAGUCAAUGGGAGAGGAAAGAAGUCACCCGCUGACGAAAUAAACGGCAGUGAAUAAAGUGGUGACUUAAAACAUGAUGAUUCCCAUAAUGGUUGAGAGUUGUACUUUGCCUGAAGAGGACUGAUCAAAUAAGUUGUCUCUGCGGCUUGUGAGCGCCAACAGGACUGGUCGAGAUUACUCCUAUCACUUCCGCUACUUGAUCCCCCUGCCCACAUACCAGCCGUCCCUCCUUCACCUGAUAAGGUGUGUACCCUUCGAGUUCUACCAUCCAAGGACUUCUACUAUGACUAAGGCAGCAUCACUGCGGUACUACCACUGGAAACUUUCUACCUGUCCUCGUGGAAGGCAUGUAGUUACGUAAGUUCGUGCAUGUGAUAGGAGCCCUUGUCGCAACGGAGCGAACUGCACGGAGGAUCGUGCUGGCCCCACUUGCCAUUGCCCUUUUGGAUUUACAGGUGUAUAUUGUG